rnacentral:misc_RNA from 1 species
AAAACAAAGUGGGAAAAAGGUAUUUGACUAGUAGAGUAACAUGACUGAAUUUUACAGUACUAAGAUUUAAAAUUACCCCAGUAACCACAGACAAAACGAAAUUAAAGACCAAAAGAAAUUGUAACUUAAAUUGGUGGGGUGCCCCAGGCCCGUGCAUCAGUGCAACGCAUGGGCGACGCACAAGAGCCCAGGCAGCAAGCUACCUUAAUAGACCCUUCCCCUUAAAAAAUUGAGUUAAUAUCGUGUGAGCCAAUGGCCCACAUAUCAGAUAUUAAACUGAUAA